GAUGAAGAACGUAGCGAAAUGCGAUAAGUAAUGCGAAUUGCAGAAUUCCAGUGAGUCAUCGAAUCUUUGAACGCACAUUGCGCCCCUUGGUAUUCCAUGGGGCAUGCCUGUUCGAGCGUCAUUUGUACCCUCAAGCUCUGCUUGGUGUUGGGUGUUUGUCUCGCGUUGCGCGUAGACUCGCCUUAAAGCGAUUGGCAGCCGGCAUAUUGGCCUUGGAGCGCAGCACAUUUUGCGCAUCAAACCAAGAAUGUUGGCGUCCAACAAGCCUUUACAUUUGCUCUUGACCUCGGAUCAGGUAGGGAUACCCGCUGAACUUAAGCAUAUCAAUAAGCGGAGGA
rnacentral:misc_RNA from 1 species